rnacentral:rRNA from 1 species
UGGGGGAUAUUGCACAAUGGGGGAAACCCUGAUGCAGCGACGCCGCGUGUGGGAAGACGGUCCUCUGGAUUGUAAACCACUGUCCCCAGGGACGAAGAUGACGGUACCUGGGGAGGAAGCUCCGGCUAACUACGUGCCAGCAGCCGCGGUAAUACGUAGGGAGCAAGCGUUGUCCGGAAUUACUGGGUGUAAAGGGAGCGUAGGCGGGGGUACAAGUUGGGUGUUAAAUCUGCCGGCUCAACUGGCAGCUGCACUCAAAACUGUACCUCUUGAGUGAAGUAGAGGCAGGCGGAAUUCCUAGUGUAGCGGUGAAAUGCGUAGAUAUUAGGAGGAACACCAGUGGCGAAGGCGGCCUGCUGGGCUUUUACUGACGCUGAGGCUCGAAAGUGUGGGGAGCAAACAGG